UUCCAAUAGCUCAGUUGGUAGAGCAUUAGACUCCUAAUCCAGGGGUUGACGGUUUGAGCCCCACAUUGGGCAA